rnacentral:rRNA from 1 species
AUGCUAUUGCUGCGGCUGCGUCCUCGGAGGCAGCAGCUGCCCCUCGCCGACCUCGCCAACCUCCGGUGUCCGCCAUGUGCUCUGCGUAGGACCCCUUCUACAUCGUCCAGGAGGAGAUCCAGGGCUGGAUUCUUCCAAGUGCUAGCUAGCUCCAAAAGCAAAUCGUCUUCAUUUGGAAGAUGCAACAUUCUACCAGAAUCCAUUCUCCUGCUCUUUUUCUUGUACUGUAUGUCAUCCAUUGUUCAACCCUGUUGGCUGCUGGUGGAUGUGGUGGUGAUCCUCCUGUUAGGAGGUAGAGGAUGUGAGCUGAGCUGCUGUCUGGUCGAGGAAGAAAGUCACUGUCUUUACUAG